UUCUCCAGCUGUACUUUUUUAUCGUUUCUUUUCUCUUCUUCCUUCCUUCCUUCCUUCCUUGCUUCUUUCAUUCCAACCUUCCUUCCUUCCUUCCCCAGUCUCUCUCACCUUUCGUUCUUACUAAACCACCACGUGUUACCUUUCCACCUUCCUCCCUCCCUCCCUCUCUCCUUCGCUCCUCCUUCACACGUGUCGUACUUCCCUCCCUUCCUUUAUUCCUUCCCUCCUUCCCUUCCACAUCAAAACACCACGCACCUCACCACACACACCCACUUCUUUCCUCCUCUUCCCUUCCACACCUUCCCUUUCCUUUUCUUCUCUACACUCUCAUUCUUCCCUAUUUUUUCUUCGCUUAUUUUGUACAUCCUCAUAUAUUCCUCUUCUUUCUAUCCCUUCUCUUUCAUCUCUUUCCUUUCCUUUCCAAAUCCUCACGCCCUUUCUCUUCUCUUCCCUUCACUUUUCUUUCAUUUACUCACACCUUCCUUUUUAAGCUGCAGAACGAUUUAAGACACUGUAUCAUAAAAAAGGAAAGAAUGCAGGUAGUUACAGCAAAAAAUCGUGUGUAGCAAUAAAUGAAUAUUUUUUAAUCAAUUUUUUUUUUUCAUUCUCUCCUAAAGAUACAUUCAGGAAUACCCGGGAGACAGCACCAGUAUCCUGAUGGAGGGGGAGGAGGAGGAGGAGGAGGAGCAGAGGACAUGGGAGAGGGGCGUGGGAGGAGGGAGGCGUGGCUGGGGACCCCCUAAGGAGUCUGGUGGUGGCGCGGCGUCUGGCGAAGGACUGGCCCAGGCUGAGGGACGCGGCGCCACCCACUCUGAAUGACUGGCACGACAUCGUAGUGGCAGUGGAGGCAGUGGAGGAGGCGCUGAGGGUGGAAGCGGGGAAGGACAUCUACCUGGAGGCCCUGAGGAAUCCUUAGCGUACCUGCACCACCUGUAUCAUCUAGACGCCCUCCACCUGGCACGGGGGCACCUCACCCACACUCGCUAUUACCGCCAGCCUGCACCGCUGCGUGUGGAGGACCUGGUGGGGGUGGCGGUGGCGGCACUGGAGGAGGAAAUGUAUGGGACAGCGGUGGAGUGGCUGACGGCGGCACAACACCUGAAUAAUGAAGGUAAGGGAUUACAGGUGUG